GAGGCCUUCCCCAGCCGCGCCCUGGAGCGCGCCUUCGCACUGUACAACCUGCUGGCGCUGUACCUGCUGCCGCUGCUCGCCACCUGCGCCUGCUAUGCGGCCAUGCUGCGCCACCUGGGCCGGGUCGCCGUGCGCCCCGCGCCCGCCGAUAGCGCCCUGCAGGUGCGCGGCGUGGGUGGGAGCCGAGCCGGGCCCCAGCCUUUCGUCUAACCACCUUCACGGCACCCCCCCAGGGGCAGGUGCUGGCAGAGCGCGCGGGCGCCGUGCGGGCCAAGGUCUCGCGGCUAGUGGC
rnacentral:lncRNA from 1 species